GACAGAGGUCCCGAGCGUUAGGCGGAAUCACUGGGCUUAAAGCGUGUGUAGGCGGAUGCCUAAGUACCUUGUGAAAUCCCACGGCUCACCCGUGGAACUGCUUGGUAUACUGGGUGUCUUGAGCCACUUAGGGGCUACCGGAACAAAUGGUGGAGCGGUGAAAUGCGUAGAUAUCUGGAGGAACACCGGUGGCGAAGGCGGCAUCCUGGACCGAGAUUGACGCUGAGGCGCGAAAGCCAGGGGAGCAAACGGG
rnacentral:rRNA from 1 species